AGCAGUAUGGUGUAAUGAUGCACACGUGAUUUUCUUACAUUCAAGGUGAUGUGUAAUCCCCGAGGUCCUUGUUCGAAUCAAGGUGCUGCUC